rnacentral:rRNA from 1 species
CUUACCGGGUCCGGACACACUGAGGAUUGACAGGCAAUAUAUUAGCAUAAAGACUCGUCUUUAGCGCUAAUUGUUAAAUAUGCUAGUCCUUUCAUGAUUAUGUGAUAGGUGGUGCAUGGCCGUUCUUAGUUCGUGGAGUGAUCUGUCUGCUUAAUUGCGUUUCACUAAGGGCCCAUAAAUUCAAGGUAUGUUAGCAAAUGCUGCUCUAUUGACCCCUAAUAGGCUUAACUGUCUUUAGCGCGUGUCUCUACGAGUUCUUUAAAGCACUGCGCAUGCUGUUGGGUCCUGAAAGCAACGAACGUGACCGCAACGUCUUGUUGCCUCUCUAUAAUAUCUUCUUAUUUUUAAUAAGAGUAUUUACCUGAGGCUAUUUAAAACUAGACGGACCGCUGUUUCUUUCUUAAACCGGAGGAAGGUUGCGGCAAUAACAGGUCUGUGAUGCCCUUAGAUGUUCCGGGCUGCACACGUGCUACAAUGAUCAGUACAGUGAGCAUCUCAAUUUUAUAACACCGUAUUAAGCGCUUGGGUCGUAAUUGUUAGGCCUUUUGGGUUUUUUCAAUUGCGUUUCUCCNNUNGNGCACGGUAAAGNCUGCUUCGAGAGUAA